rnacentral:misc_RNA from 1 species
CUGCUCACUGCGCAACAAAAUAGCAAGCCGGCAGCACGCGGAACCAUCGGGGCUGCUGCACAUUUCGUCGAGCACCCUGCGCACAUCGUAAAGGAGCAAGGGAAGGGGCUCUACGCAGGGCUGCUGUUUUUGGAUCGGAGGGCUGGGCGCAGGGACUUGGACGCCGUGGCUGCAGGAACAGCGGCGUUUUGCCGAGGAGCUGCGCAGCGAGGGAAGGUGGGGCGAGCUGCUGCUGUGCGAGGGAGAAGGAGCAGGGGAACAGGGGCGCCCUGCGCAGAGGAGGAGAGGUCGGCCAUGGAGGCUGCUGCCCCUGCGCAAGGGAGGCCAAGGAGGGGUGAAAAAAAAUCUGGGCGUCCUCCAUGGAAGCUGCUACCGCUGCUGGGUGUGGUGAAGAAUGGGCUGCUGCACCAUGGGGAAAUCAGCAGGAGGAAGAAACUAGGGCUUGGGCGCCAUGGCUGGGGGCGCGAUGGAGAGGGAGAGCUGGGCGUCUGCUCUUCCCUGCGCGAUGGCGAGGCCGAGCUGGGAGAGGGAAGCCGCUGCUCCAUGCUAUUGGGGAAGAAGGGCGUCGCUGCAGGGGUGCCGAGCGCAGGGAGCAGAGGGUCGGCCAUGGAGCAAGGGGCUCGCUGGAGGCUGUUGCCGUCGUGA